rnacentral:lncRNA from 1 species
CUUCCCUGCAGUUUUCUCACAGCCCCUAGGAAAAAGAGGCAGUGUCUCACUUUGUUGCCCAGGCUGGUCUUGAAAAUCUGGACUCAAGCAAUCCUCAUACCUCAGCCUUCCAAAGUGCUAAGAUUACAGGCAUAAGCCACCAUUGCUGGCUCCACCUUUCUUUAGAUGAGAAUGCAAAGGUUGGGCUGCAGAGAACAGAUGACUUCCCUAAGAUUGAUGGUCAGUGCGUGGUGACCUGGGACUAGAAGACACAUCACCGUACCCACAGGUGACAGGGAGAAGUAUUUAUCAAGAACACCCAUUCUCUUAGCCCUCAGAAAAUAUCACAAAUGCACCACCACUGAAAGGUGACAGCUUUUAUAGAUUCAUAGUGACUUACAACCUUCUACUUGGCUGCAGGAAGGCAAAAAUAAUCAAUUUUCAUAUAUCAUGGAGCAGAGGAGAAGGGAAAAUGAGAAGCAACCUGAGAAAUGCCUCUGCUAAAAUAUGUGAAGACCCCAGCUAAUACCCCAUCAAUUCCAUGGUCAAAAAGUACAAAGGUUCUAGAGAAAUAGGCUUGAACAAAGCAACCCAAUCAAGAUCAUCGUCUGCUGCCAAGUGCCCAAUCUGAACACCCAGACUCUAGGUCUUGGUAGGGGAGGGGGUUGUGGGAUGAUCCUCAGACCAGAAUUCUGUAAACUUUCCCAGACUCAGCCAGCGGCAUCACUCUCCUGCAUUAUAUAAUAAAACAAAGCCUCAAGUUCAGAUUUCA